rnacentral:siRNA from 1 species
GUGGACGUGCCGGAGUGGUUA